rnacentral:rRNA from 1 species
CCUACGGGCGGCAGCAGUAGGGAAUAUUGCUCAAUGGGGGAAACCCUGAAGCAGCAACGCCGCGUGGAGGAUGAAGGUUUUCGGAUCGUAAACCUCUGUCAGCAGGGAAGAACGGUCACUGUGCUAAUCAGCAGUGAAUUGACGGUACCUGCAAAGGAAGAACCGGCUAACUCCGUGCCAGCAGCCGCGGUAAUACGGAGGGUGCGAGCGUUAAUCGGAAUUACUGGGCGUAAAGCGCUCGUAGGCGGUAUGUCAAGUCAAGGGUGAAAUCCCCGCGCUCAACGUGGGAACUGCCUUUGAAACUGGCAAACUGGAGUGUGUGAGAGGAUAGUGGAAUUCCAGGUGUAGGAGUGAAAUCCGUAGAUAUCUGGAGGAACAUCAGUGGCGAAGGCGACUAUCUGGCACAUAACUGACGCUGAGGAGCGAAAGCGUGGGUAGCAAACAGGAUUAGAUACCCCAGUAGUC